GGGCUGUCUAGAAAGCUGUGACAAUAAGUUUGUAUGAAAGAUUCGGGGGGAGCACACAUAACUUCUAACUAGUGCCCACAGAGACUUUGGAGCCACUCUCUUACCAGUGGUCCAAUGGCUGUACCUACUGUGAUCCUUGUGGGCUCGCACAUCACCACAGCUCCUGAUGAAACUGAGGUUGACAGAUUUUAUCAUCAUCUAUAGAGAGGAGACUAUUAAGAUGAAUCUCUUGGUGAACUCGUCUGAAUGUCAAAAAGAAAAAGACAUCUUCUCAGAAAAAUAUAAAUAUUUAUAGACAGCAUUACUCCAUCACCCCUGAAAUGUUAAACAGAGCUGUUUCUCCAUUCUCUUCUUUAUUGAUUUAGUUAUGUGGUACAUAAUCAGAAAGCCAAAAAAAAAAGGUAACGGUGGAACUCAAAUCACCAGGUCAUGCAUCAAAUAAACGCAGACCAAAAAACAUUCAUUAAAUCUUGUUGUGAUAUACCUCCAGAGAGCAGUAACAGAAAUAAAAAAAAUCAAUGUCAAAACAAACCUGGCCUCGGACUGCUGGAGAAUGGCUGCUCACAGACCUUCCUCUGUGAUGAGAUCCUGACGUCUGUGGCACUUUUCCUCCUCUGAGGUAUGUGCUCUUAGGGCUAAGUCCCACCAGUAUGACUGCAGGGCCAGUGGGAACAGAGUGGGAUGUAUUUAAAAGCAAAAAUAUCAGGGAGUCAAGUCCUCAUUCAGCACCAAAAGCGUCUGAGUGGCCCUCCUCAACUUUCUCACCGGGUUUUAGCCUAGACAACUUUUAAGGAAGGUAAGUACCUUAGAAGUCAUCUAGUCUAAAACCCAAGUCUGUUUUCUGGAUCUCUCUUCUGAUACCUAAAAUC
rnacentral:lncRNA from 1 species